rnacentral:pre_miRNA from 1 species
UGACUUUGGUCAAAGUCAAACUGUUUUAAGUUUGAAAAUUUAUAGAAAAAAGUAGUAACAUUUUCAACCCAUUAUCAAAAUAUAUUCAAUAUUGAUUUGAUGACACUAAUUUAAUAUUAUAAAUAUUAUUACAUUUGUCUAUAAAUUUAGUCAAACUUGAAACAGUUUGACUUUGACCAAAGUCAA